AGAGUUUGAUCAUGGCUCAGAUUGAACGCUGGCGGCAGGCCUAACACAUGCAAGUCGAACGGUAACAGGAAGCAGCUUGCUGCUUCGCUGACGAGUGGCGGACGGGUGAGUAAUGUCUGGGAAAACUGCCUGAUGGAGGGGGAUAACUACUGGAAACGGUGGCUAAUACCGCAUAACGUCGCAAGACCAAAGAGGGGGACCUUCGGGCCUCUUGCCAUCAGAUGUGCCCAGAUGGGAUUAGCUAGUUGGUGAGGUAACGGCUCACCAAGGCGACGAUCCCUAGCUGGUCUGAGAGGAUGACCAGCCACACUGGAACUGAGACACGGUCCAGACUCCUACGGGAGGCAGCAGUGGGGAAUAUUGCACAAUGGGCGCAAGCCUGAUGCAGCCAUGCCGCGUGUAUGAAGAAGGCCUUCGGGUUGUAAAGUACUUUCAGCGGGGAGGAAGGUGUUGUGGUUAAUAACCACAGCAAUUGACGUUACCCGCAGAAGAAGCACCGGCUAACUCCGUGCCAGCAGCCGCGGUAAUACGGAGGGUGCAAGCGUUAAUCGGAAUUACUGGGCGUAAAGCGCACGCAGGCGGUCUGUCAAGUCGGAUGUGAAAUCCCCGGGCUCAACCUGGGAACUGCAUUCGAAACUGGCAGGCUUGAGUCUUGUAGAGGGGGGUAGAAUUCCAGGUGUAGCGGUGAAAUGCGUAGAGAUCUGGAGGAAUACCGGUGGCGAAGGCGGCCCCCUGGACAAAGACUGACGCUCAGGUGCGAAAGCGUGGGGAGCAAACAGGAUUAGAUACCCUGGUAGUCCACGCCGUAAACGAUGUCUACUUGGAGGUUGUGCCCUUGAGGCGUGGCUUCCGGAGCUAACGCGUUAAGUAGACCGCCUGGGGAGUACGGCCGCAAGGUUAAAACUCAAAUGAAUUGACGGGGGCCCGCACAAGCGGUGGAGCAUGUGGUUUAAUUCGAUGCAACGCGAAGAACCUUACCUGGUCUUGACAUCCACAGAACUUUCCAGAGAUGGACUGGUGCCUUCGGGAACUGUGAGACAGGUGCUGCAUGGCUGUCGUCAGCUCGUGUUGUGAAAUGUUGGGUUAAGUCCCGCAACGAGCGCAACCCUUAUCCUUUGUUGCCAGCGGUCCGGCCGGGAACUCAAAGGAGACUGCCAGUGAUAAACUGGAGGAAGGUGGGGAUGACGUCAAGUCAUCAUGGCCCUUACGACCAGGGCUACACACGUGCUACAAUGGCGCAUACAAAGAGAAGCGACCUCGCGAGAGCAAGCGGACCUCAUAAAGUGCGUCGUAGUCCGGAUUGGAGUCUGCAACUCGACUCCAUGAAGUCGGAAUCGCUAGUAAUCGUGGAUCAGAAUGCCACGGUGAAUACGUUCCCGGGCCUUGUACACACCGCCCGUCACACCAUGGGAGUGGGUUGCAAAAGAAGUAGGUAGCUUAACCUUCGGGAGGGCGCUUACCACUUUGUGAUUCAUGACUGGGGGUGAAGUCGUAACAAGGUAACCGUAGGGGAACCUGCGGUUGGAUCACCU
rnacentral:rRNA from 1 species